AUGCACGCUGGCGGCGUGCCUAAUACAUGCAAGUCGCGAGAACGGACGAGAAGCUUGCUUCUCUGAUGUUAGCGGCGGACGGGUGAGUAACACGUGGAUAACCUACCUAUAAGACUGGGAUAACUUCGGGAAACCGGAGUUAAUACCGGAUGAUAUUUUGAACCGCAUGGUUCAAAAGUGAAAGACGGUCUUGCUGUCACUUAUAGAUGGAUCCGCGCUGCAUUAGCUAGUUGGUAAGGUAACGGCUUACCAAGGCAACGAUGCAUAGCCGACCUGAGAGGGUGAUCGGCCACACUGGAACUGAGACACGGUCCAGACUCCUACGGGAGGCAGCAGUAGGGAAUCUUCCGCAAUGGGCGAAAGCCUGACGGAGCAACGCCGCGUGAGUGAUGAAGGUCUUCGGAUCGUAAAACUCUGUUAUUAGGGAAGAACAUAUGUGUAAGUAACUGUGCACAUCUUGACGGUACCUAAUCAGAAAGCCACGGCUAACUACGUG
rnacentral:rRNA from 1 species